GAAGAUUUUGUUGCUUGUGUUGCUCUUUGAAGAUUUUGUUGCUUGUGUUGAACUUCGAAGGUUUUGUCCGUUAG